GCCACAUCACGAUAAAACACCAGUUCCCUUACGAUCACCGAAAAUAAGCAACGUCGAACCUGGUCACUACCUAGAUGGGUGACCGCUUGAGAAUAGCAAGUGCUGUAA